CGUGUAUGAUGCUGCAUUCAUAGUGGUGUUGAGUUUGUGGCAACUAACAAUGAGUUUCGGCGAGUUUCUGUAGCUUAUUUCUACAAUCUCAUGAAUCUAUUCUUAUUGUGCAGACUACAACUUGCAUAGCUUUGUAAUGUUUCUUAACCACAGAAAUCAUAUCCAACAGCAAAAUUUGUUCAAUUUUCAUUCUUUCGAUUCAGAUAUACCUAGUAUGAUGAUCACUGAAUUCUGAAUGUGCCACUCUGCAGGUACAAGGUUGGAGACAUGGGUGUCUAGCAAGCAGAACCUCGUUUGGGGCCCAAGAAGCAUAGAAGACAUCUCACAAAAGGAUCAACCAAUCAACACUGGACA
rnacentral:misc_RNA from 1 species